UCUGCAGCCCCCGGGGCUGAAAUGCCGACUCCCCGCCCUGCAGAACCUUCCACGCCACUCGCUCCCGCGAAGGCAGCAGUGAAAAGCUAAAGAAGUAAAGAGGUCAUGGCACAUUUAACAAAAAGAUGACAGGCAGAUACAAAAGCUAUCCAGCAUCUUUGGGCAGCCAUUGAGAUUAUACGGAACCAGAAGCAAAUUGCCAACACUGACUGUAUUACAAAAUUUCCAAUCAAGAUGUAAAGGGUGAAGAAUCAAAGAACAAAGAAUCAGUAACAAGUGAAAUUUAAGCCUUUCAAUCAUGCAGAUUCCUAAUAUGAUUCAUAACUCAUUGUCAUGUUAUUUCUCUAAAUGCCAUGUAUAGUUUAAUGUCCAAUAAAAUCAAGUUACAUAUAUCA